rnacentral:rRNA from 1 species
AAUCCAUAGGUUAAUGAGGCGAACCGGGGGAACUGAAACAUCUAAGUACCCCGAGGAAAAGAAAUCAACCGAGAUUCCCCCAGUAGCGGCGAGCGAACGGGGAGGAGCCCAGAGCCUGAAUCAGCAUGUGUGUUAGUGGAAGCGUCUGGAAAGGCGCGCGAUACAGGGUGACAGCCCCGUACACAAAAGCGCAUGUGCUGUGAGCUCGAUGAGUAGGGCGGGACACGUGGUAUCCUGUCUGAAUAUGGGGGGACCAUCCUCCAAGGCUAAAUACUCCUGACUGACCGAUAGUGAACCAGUACCGUGAGGGAAAGGCGAAAAGAACCCCGGCGAGGGGAGUGAAAAAGAACCUGAAACCGUGUACGUACAAGCAGUGGGAGCACCCUUUGGGGUGUGACUGCGUACCUUUUGUAUAAUGGGUCAGCGACUUAUAUUCUGUAGCAAGGUUAACCGAAUAGGGGAGCCGGAGGGAAACCGAGUCUUAACCGGGCGUUAAGUUGCAGGGUAUAGACCCGAAACCCGGUGAUCUAGCCAUGGGCAGGUUGAAGGUUGGGUAACACUAACUGGAGGACCGAACCGACUAAUGUUGAAAAAUUAGCGGAUGACCUGUGGCUGGGGGUGAAAGGCCAAUCAAACCGGGAGAUAGCUGGUUCUCCCCGAAAGCUAUUUAGGUAGCGCCUCGUGAAUUCAUCUCCGGGGGUAGAGCACUGUUUCGGCUAGGGGGCCAUCCCGGCUUACCAACCCGAUGCAAACUGCGAAUACCGGAGAAUGUUAUCACGGGAGACACACGGCGGGUGCUAACGUCCGUCGUGAAGAGGGAAACAACCCAGACCGCCAGCUAAGGUCCCAAAGUCAUGGUUAAGUGGGAAACGAUGUGGGAAGGCCCAGACAGCCAGGAUGUUGGCUUAGAAGCAGCCAUCAUUUAAAGAAAGCGUAAUAGCUCACUGGUCGAGUCGGCCUGCGCGGAAGAUGUAACGGGGCUAAACCAU